UGUGCAUACGGGUAUGUGCACCUGCCCGUAGGAUUAGCAAUCUAACUCGCUGUUCGUAAAUCAGUUUAUAUUCGGUUCAAAAUGAGCUCGAUAUCCAUCGCUUAUUUAAUAACGAGCUGAACACGAACGGAAUUUUCCAGCUCGAAAUCUUAACGAGUUGAACACAAGAUCGAUGGGUUCGGUUCGCUCGUGUUCGGCUCAAUAUUAUUAUAUUAACAUUCUUUUUUUUUUUAUUCUUUUUCAACUUUUCAUUCAGAGAUAGAGCAGGCAAUUUAAUUUGCUGUUCGCGAGUCAAACACGAGCGAAAUUUUUGAGCUCGAUAUUUUAAUGAGGCAACUCAUGUUCUGCUCAUCUAAUAAACGAACGAACAAAUGAACACGAGCCAACUCGUGUUCCAACUCGUUUGUUUUCGGCUUGUUCUCAGCCCUACAUACGUGAGAAUGUUCGCGAGUCAAAUACGAGCUGAAUGUUUGAUCUCGAUAUUUUAAUGAGCCAACUCAUGUUCUGCUCAUCUAAUAAAUGAACGAACAAAUGAACACGAGCCAACUCCUGUUCCAACU
rnacentral:lncRNA from 1 species